rnacentral:lncRNA from 1 species
CACAUGAAAUGAUCCUGUUAGAAGAAACUGGAUAUGUCUCAAUCUGCACUUCACUCAGAGCCUCUUGGUCCUGGCCACUGUGAGUCCCUGGUCCAGGAUCCAAAGUAACUCAGCAGAAACAAACUUCCAACUAAAAAUCCCCUCGAAUGUCUCCCAGGGAAGAAAUAUAGCUCCUAUAAUUACAGGAGGCUACCGCCGGAGGGGAACGCAGCCCGCAGCCAAAAACCAAGAAAGACCAAGUAGGAAAGAACACAUUCUUCUCCAUUCUUGGCAGAGCAGAGCUGAGAGCAGCACCUGAUACUUAAGCAAUGCUCCCACAAAGGGAUGGAAAUGGAAAGGAGCCUGAGGAAAAGAAGGUCCAGUGACAGGCCCAAAGUGGGGUCCAGCUGAAGGGGAGGUCCCAAGGCCUGACACUAUACUGAGGCUGUGGAGUGCUCACAAAAAGAGACCUAGCAUGACCGCACUCCAGAAGACCCAACAAGCAGCUGAAAGAGUCAGAGGCAGAUAUUUGUACCUAACCAAUGGACAGAAGCAGUAAACUGUGUUGUUGAACACAUCCCCACUAAAGAUGCACUAUCAGUGAACAGUCUGAAGCUCUACAGUGUGUGCAAAUGGAAAGUUACAGUGAAAAUCUGGGGACUCUUUCUAUAGCCUCAUACAUUAACAGUCUUAGAUCAAGGAAGAAUGCACAUCUUGAAUCCAGGACAACAAAAACAAACUUGAUCAAGUAGUUUCUUGGGAUCAUUCGUUCUGCUCACAAGCCUAGGUUGCUGUUAAAUACAAGAACAACUUUCAUCUCUAUCAACGGGAAGGAAGCUGUUGACCUGAUACCUUUGAGAAACUUGCUGGGCCAGUGAAAGAGAAACAGAGAAAAUAUUUUCUGCAAUUGGUAAACUUGCUGUUUUCAGAAGGUCAAAAGGCAAACAAACACGUGACACAUGUACCUUGUGAAAACCAUGCCACUCUGGCUCCAAACUCCUACAGCAAGUGGUUCUCCAGGGGAAGACUGCCUGCAGGCACUGCAGUGUGUCUGUGGGACUCUAGUCCCCACCCCACCCCCACUCUGAGUUCAUCUGACUAAGUCUGAGGAAAAGAAUGGCUAUGAUGUGGAUCCCAUUUUCAAUGAUUUUUAAAUUGUAUUUAAAAAAGAAAAGAUUUCCUAGUAAUUGAGUAUAUAAAAGUCCUUGAUAUUAAAUUUCUCUUUAAAUAAAAUAUACUUUAAUUGACGUCAAUUUAAGUUUGA